rnacentral:rRNA from 1 species
UACGAAGGGGGCUAGCGUUGUUCGGAAUUACUGGGCGUAAAGCGCGCGCAGGCGGUCUUCCAAGUCAGUGGUGAAAGCCCGGAGCUCAACUCCGGAACUGCCAUUGAAACUGUGAGACUUGAGUAUGAGAGAGGUGAGUGGAAUUCCCAGUGUAGAGGUGAAAUUCGUAGAUAUUCGGAAGAACACCAGUGGCGAAGGCGACUUACUGGACACAUAUUGACGCUGAGGUGCGAAAGCGUGGGGAGCAAACAGG